rnacentral:rRNA from 1 species
UACGUAGGGGGCUAGCGUUGCUCGGAAUCACUGGGCGUAAGGCGCACGUAGGCGGCUUCUUAAGUCAGGGGUGAAAUCCUGGGGCUCAACCCCAGAACUGCCCUUGAUACUGAGGAGCUUGAGUCCGGGAGAGGUGAGUGUAACUCCGAGUGUAGAGGUGAAAUUCGUAGAUAUUCGGAAGAACACUAGUGGCGAAGGCGGCUCACUGGCCCGGUACUGACGCUGAGGUGCUAAAGCGUGGGGAGCAAACAGG